UUGGUUCUUAAAAUGGUCAUCAUGUGACAUAUGGCCCUGGUGUGACAAUGUAGGUAUGCAAGUAUGGUCCCUGGCUUUGGAGAGACCCAAACAAGCUCAAGGCAGGUUUUUUAUAGAGUUAUCAGUUAAGAGCAUCCCUUUCCUGUAUGACCAGUCAGACCAAGACAUGCAUUUCCCAAGUUCUCAGAUUUGGGGCCAGUCCUAGUCUAUUGCAGGCCCCUCUGAGCACCACCCACUUGGAGAACCGGGAUCCCAGUUUGAGAUCCUUCCUGUCGUCCCUGAACUAGAUGUAGCCAGGCACCCUGCUUAGGUUCUCACUGUUGCCUUGGCUUGCUUCUUGGCGCUUCGUGGUGUGACUCAGAGGAGGAUGUCUUCCCUCUUGGACAAGAAGGUGGUAGGCGGGGAUUAACACAGCCUUUUCCUGACCCGUGUGUUCCCAGAUUCUCGCGGGCAGGAGAGCGCUUUGCUAACCAGCGACGGGAGAGGGGGUGUGUGGCGGGGGCCUUAGGGCUGGGGCCCGGGCAUGGUGUCACGCGACUGCCCACUUGGACUUUAACCAGCAGGUCUGCUGCUUCACUGGCUCUGCUGUCGGGCAGCCCCACUGACUGGAGGAGACACACCUCCUCUGGGUUCUUCUGUGACUGCCUUUGCCCUUCCCUGUAAGUUUCUUGAUCCUUCUUCCUAGCAGAAAACGUGGCAGCAGAUUCACAGAUUGAGUUUAACCCGAGUUCCUCCAGACCUGACAAUGGCUGAACGACCAGGAGGCCCAGCAUGGGGGUGGGGGGCUGUUGGGGAGACCCUCACUUCGGGUGGAAGUGUCCUGGCCUGUGGUGGGGAGUAGCCUGCUUCUCCACCUGCUCACACACAGCACCGACUGCAAGAGCAGGGGCUUUCUGCAUCCGGAGCAACCCCCAACCCCUGCCCCCCCAACCCCACCUUUCCUGCCAGGAGGAGGCCUGAGUGGUUUCUGACCUCGGCCAGGGACACCGCCCUUGACAAGGAUCUGUGGUCUUGGUGCUGAGGGCAGGGCCUCCCUCCUGACCAGCCACAUCCUGAGCAUUAUUGCCCAAGGCUGGGCCUGGGGCUGGACACUCACUGGCCUUUCAGCUUGAGCUCAUCCCCUCCCACCAUUUCAGUUCUUGGGGGAAAAACAACUCUUAAGUGGCAUUAAGUCACCGCACCAAAGGAGCUCGUGGAACAAAACAAGGUCACAUCAGUUAAACUGAUCAAGUCUGGUCUCAGCCCGAGGGUCCUCAGUGGCUCUUCUGGGGUUGGUCUGGGGUUCUGCUCCCUGCUGGAGGCCUCUGCAGCUGCCCCAGGACACCCGCAGUCACCCCUGGCCACCCCUUCUGUCCACUCCGUCCACGCGAGCGGCCAAGCCUGCAGCCACUGUGGGUCAGCUGACUGGCUUCAGGGUUCUACACUCCACUGGUCUUCCUCCCAAAGAUUUCUUUUAGAUUCCACACGAAGUUCCUUCCCUAAGACUUAGGCCACCUCCAGAAGGGCCAGGUCAGGACCAGGACCUGGGGUCCACCUGGGAUCCCUCCUUACUAUCUCUGCCCCUGGGCCUUUUUCAGGGGUCCCUUUUUCCUUUUGGCACAGGCCCUUAGAUCCCCCCCAUGAGCGGGGGACUCAUCACUGUGAACAUUAGAGGCUGGGCUUUAAUCCUAUUCCUUCAAGGUCCCAGGGCCUUAGGCUUAUUUGCCAAGCUCUCCUUAGCAAAUGACAAGCUUCUCAGUAUUUUCCUCCCAGGAAAAGUGUCCUCUCGCUGGAUGCCUGACAGCUCUACGUCUGACUCAGUUUCCCUCUGUUUAGCAUCAGUCCAUGGGUGCUGCAGUCCUUUAUCUAGUGACCCAGCCGGCUGGACGUGGCGAGCUGGAACUUACCCAGAGCGCCUGAGGGAAACUGCCCCGCUUGUCCCUCCGAGUUGCUGGUCUUGCCUGCAGAGGAGCAGAGCGGACUCCUGGAGGAAGACGCGCUCUCCAGGUAAACGCCCAGGCUCCCCGUAAGAGCCCGCCUGCUCUGAGAGGACAGCAGGAGACACAGACAGAGGGGCUCGGCCGGGGCCGAGGACAGCAGGGAUGGAGCAGCACCGAUGCCCCUCGUCCUGCAAACCCAGGUAGGACUUCAGCACCUGGAGGAGCGGGAGCCGGCCCCACCCUCACCCGCAGAGCCAGCAGCACCUGGCACCCACCCGCUCUGGUCUCCAUCCCUCGCAGGCUCCCGCUGUCGGGCUCCUCUGGUGCUGGCCAGGGCCUCCGUGCAGAGGAGGCCAGGUUUGCACGCCGGUCACAGGUUCUUCAAUUGAAGAACCAAAGAGCAAGCGGCCUGUCUUCUCCAGGCCAGCGCUCUGCCUGCUCCUCCUCCCACCCAGAUGCCGGGUCAGCCCUGACGGGAAGCUGCGUCCGCCCUCACUUCCCUGCCCCCAAGUGUGACCAGAGCUGGGGACACAGAUUCCAGCAGAAACGAAUUGCACACGAGGCCCGUGGGUUCACCUAGACCCAGAGCCGGGCAGCAAGCUCCAUGCUACACAAUCACCACUUCACCUUCCACUCCGCAUCUGUUCCAUCUGUCGCGAGGUCGCCUGUAGCCACCCCAGCCCACGUCACCCGGCCCAGCUGUUAUGAAUGGAGCCAGGACACAGCACGGGGGGGGGACCCAGACUAAAGCCCUGCUUGGGGAGGGGACUGUUGAGAGAGGGGUCCCCACUUGCCCCACGUUUUCCGGUGUUGGCGCUUCUGUGCACGCAGAUGCCCUCUAGCCCCCAGGCCUGGGCAGGCAGGUGGGGAGGGUCUGUGCUCCCGGGAAAGGGAGCAAAGGCAGCGGGUGCAGGGGCACGGGAGCAGGGACCAGUGGCUGAGAAGACACAGCCUACGACUCUCCUGACCAGGGCAGCUGCUGGCUUCAGCCUGCAAGGGCUGCCCGCAUCCAGAGGCCUUUUCUCCAGCACACAGCUGAGCCUUGGACAGUUUAGUCGUCACACAAAAGGUGAGUCAGACCGGCACCCCACCCCAGGGAGAGUCUAAGAAUAGAAAAGCGGGGAAGGAGCUUUAGGAGGAGCCCAAACUCCAGGUUUUAUGAUUUUUUCCUUGGCUGGCUCUUUUCUCCUUUAAAGUGCCUUUAUCCACAUGGGCUGCAGUCUUUGAAUGGGCAAAAGCUGCUCCAGCUGGAGGAAUUUGGUCCGAGAAGAGGACAGGAAGACAAGAGGCAGCAGGGCCCGGGACAAGGCAGCAGAAGCAGGGAGCUCUCAGCAAAGAUGUGCACAGAACAGCUGAUGCUGUGCCUCUGUGGAAGGCAGCCUGGCACCCAGGGAGGGGACACAGGACCUGUCACAAGACCACAGACUGAGGCGGACAGAGCCCACAGCAUCUGUGUCUCGGCUCGGAGAACACGCGGGACUUCAGGUAGGAAGGCCUCCCAGGCCCGUGAGUGCCUACAGGUGCCACCUACCCUCGCCCACCUCCCACCUGUGCUCCCGACAGCAGGGUGGGCAGUCAGCCUUGAAAGGAGCUUGAGUCACACAGGGCCACCCUCCCCAGGUGCCGCGAGUCCCCCAGCCUGGCUUUCCACUUCAGGACCUCAGGGCUCCCGACAAAGAGAGCCCACUUUCCAAAUCAAGAAGCUCCUCAAUAGUCAAGAAUUAAAAUAUGUAAUCAAAGUAUGAAAGUAUACGUAGCACAAAUCCAGAUUUCCUGUAUCAGAAUGGUGAUCUGGUCUCACCUAUUCAAACUGGAUCUACAACCCCGUGUAAAAAACACAAUACACCAAACAUGUACAAGACAGGCCACAAGAAACACCGACACGGCUCACCAUCUCUGACGAGUCCAAGCGCAGACAGAAGGGAGAGAUUAGUCACCUUACAAAAACAGGCUUUUCUUCAGGAGAGACUAGCGCCAGCCUACUUCCAACUGUGCAGCCCACAGACUGCCUCCUACCAGAGGCAACAUCACGGUCUACCUUCUGCUGGGGUGCAAGCCCGCGGUGACCCGCCUGGCCACGGGGCCCUCCCACUGCACCCUGCUGCACCCCAGCUCUGGCUGCCGUGGGUGUGUCUCUGCCCAGUUGGCUGUGUUCCUGCUUUUGCCCCCAGGGCCCCAGGUAUCUUUAGACACCCGUUCGAUGACCCAGCCAUCUCUGUCUCCUUCAAGCAUGCGGCCCGAGCCCCCACCUAAGUCACUCAGAUCCAAGAGCACAGGAAGGAGAGUCUGGCCAGCCUGGGUGGUCUCACUGCUUGGGGGGGGGUGGGGGGCGGCGCAUCCUGGCUGUCAGGCAGGGCCCCCGUCUGUGAGAAGACCUGUCUGCAGGCAGCACUGUGACUUUCCCACCUUUUAAGGAGCAGCUGGUGCUGAGGCGGGGUCACUGUGUCUUGCAUGAACUUGUCCACCAUGUAAUUUAUUUUCUCUGCUUUGCUGUUUGGGUGGUUAAUGACAUGUGAAUACAAAAGAAAAGAAAAUCCCCUCGGGAGAGACAGCCCCUGGCUGGGGCACACAGGACUCUGCGACACAGCCACUGGAGCUGGCUUCUCGCGGCGGCCCCGCCCACCCGCAGCACCCACGCGCCACCAAGGUCUCGCGUACACGUGAGGUGCACACGUCACCAAUAAAGUGUCAACUGAGUGUCUACUGCA